UACGUAGGGGGCAAGCGUUAUCCGGAUUUACUGGGUGUAAAGGGAGCGUAGACGGCCAGACAAGUCUGAAGUGAAAAUCCAGCGCUUAACGCUGGAAGUGCUUUGGAAACUGCCGGGCUGGAGUGCAGGAGGGGCAGGCGGAAUUCCUAGUGUAGCGGUGAAAUGCGUAGAUAUUAGGAGGAACACCAGUGGCGAAGGCGGCCUGCUGGACUGCAACUGACGUUGAGGCUCGAAGGCGUGGGGAGCAAACGGG
rnacentral:rRNA from 1 species